GACAGAGGGUGCAAACGUUGUUCGGAUUUACUGGGCGUAAAGCGUGUGUAGGCGGCUUUGCAAGUCGGAUGUGAAAUCCCACGGCUCAACCGUGGAAGUGCAUCCGAAACGGCAUCGCUUGAGUCUCGGAGAGGAAGGUGGAAUGCUUGGUGUAGAGGUGAAAUUCGUAGAUAUCAAGCAGAACACCUGCGGCGAAGGCGGCCUUCUGGACGAUGACUGACGCUGAGACACGAAAGCGUGGGGAGCAAAAGGG
rnacentral:rRNA from 1 species